AUCCAACCGACGAGUCCAAAAAAGGACGAAACGUGCGUGUUGGAU
rnacentral:hammerhead_ribozyme from 1 species